rnacentral:rRNA from 1 species
UACAGAGGUCCCAAGCGUUGUUCGGAUUCAUUGGGCGUAAAGGGUGCGUAGGCGGCGCGGUAAGUCGGGUGUGAAAUCUCGGGGCUUAACUCCGAAACUGCAUUCGAUACUGCCGUGCUUGAGGACUGGAGAGGAGACUGGAAUUUACGGUGUAGCGGUGAAAUGCGUAGAGAUCGGAAAGAACACCAACGGCGAAAGCACUCUGCUGGGCCGACACUGACACUGAGAGACGAAAGCUAGGGGAGCGAAUGGG